CAAUCUUAUCAGUGCUGUUAAAUUGUGCUAGCCUUGCUCAGUCCCAGUAAGCACUAUCCAACAACUGAGCCAUUAUCGUCGUUCUAAUACAAAUAGAUACUCACGUUUUCAUGAUGAAAGUCCCCCUCUUCCUGCUGUAUCUGUCGUGCAUGGUGUCACUCAUCUCGGCGAGUUUGGAAAAAGACAACCCAAUACAUAGAGGAUACUCAGACAACCUUGACGCCAAAUACGGUGACAAUCCAGCGUUCAACAAAGUCGCCCGACCACUCAUACACGGGACCUACCAUGCCUGCAGGUUCUACGAUAGUGGAAACCCGGAGGAAUGGGCCCAAGCGAAGGACCAGCUCUUUAAGUUUGGCACAGGGCAAAAGCGAACAGAAUAUUUGGAGUCACACAGGGAGAGAGCGAAGAAAGAAGCAAAUGAAAAGAAAUGAGAACAGUAAAACAAUGAAAAACACUUAGAAUAAAAAACCUCACUGGAAACAAAAUUUUUAAAUGAUUUAUCGCCAAGUUUUUAAAUACGUAUUAUUGUUUUCCUCUCUCACUCAAUAAACAUCAUAAUUGUAAAAUGUA